GCUCAUAACAUGUCAAGUCGAACGGCAGCGCGGGGCAACCUGGCGGCGAGUGGCGAACGGGUGAGUAAUAUAUCGGAACGUACCCUGGAGUGGGGGAUAACGUAGCGAAAGUUACGCUAAUACCGCAUACGAUCUAAGGAUGAAAGUGGGGGAUUCGCAAGGACCUCAUGCUCCUGGAGCGGCCGAUAUCUGAUUAGCUAGUUGGUAGGGUAAAAGCCUACCAAGGCAUCGAUCAGUAGCUGGUCUGAGAGGACGACCAGCCACACUGGAACUGAGACACGGUCCAGACUCCUACGGGAGGCAGCAGUGGGGAAUUUUGGACAAUGGGCGCAAGCCUGAUCCAGCAAUGCCGCGUGAGUGAAGAAGGCCUUCAGGUUGUAAAGCUCUUUUGUCAGGGAAGAAACGGUGAUCUCUAAUAUAGAUUGCUAAUGACGGUACCUGAAGAAUAAGCACCGGCUAACUACGUGCCAGCAGCCGCGGUAAUACGUAGGGUGCAAGCGUUAAUCGGAAUUACUGGGCGUAAAGCGUGCGCAGGCGGUUUUGUAAGACUGUCGUGAAAUCCCCGGACUCAACCUGGGAAUGGCGAUGGUGACUGCAAGGCUAGAGUUUGGCAGAGGGGGGUAGAAUUCCACGUGUAGCAGUGAAAUGCGUAGAUAUGUGGAGGAACACCGUGGCGAAGGCAGCCCCCUGGGUCAAAACUGACGCUCAUGCACGAAAGCGUGGGGAGCAAACAGGAUUAGAUACCCUGGUAGUCCACGCCCUAACGAUGUCUACUAGUUGUCGGGUUUUAAUUAACUUGGUACGCAGCUAACGCGUGAAGUAGACCGCCUGGGGAGUACGGCGCAGAUUAAACUCAAGGAUUGACGGGACCCGCACAGCGUGG
rnacentral:rRNA from 1 species